rnacentral:rRNA from 1 species
UACGAAGGGGGCAAGCGUUGUUCGGAAUUACUGGGCGUAAAGGGCUCGUAGGCGGCCAACUAAGUCGGACGUGAAAUCCCUCGGCUCAACCGGGGAACUGCGUCCGAUACUGGAUGGCUUGAGUUCGGGAGAGGGAUGCGGAAUUCCAGGUGUAGCGGUGAAAUGCGUAGAUAUCUGGAGGAACACCGGUGGCGAAGGCGGCAUCCUGGACCGACACUGACGCUGAGGAGCGAAAGCCAGGGGAGCAAACGGG